CUACGGGUGGCUGCAGUGGGGAAUAUUGCACAAUGGGCGCAAGCCUGAUGCAGCCAUGCCGCGUGUAUGAAGAAGGCCUUCGGGUUGUAAAGUACUUUCAGUCGUGAGGAAGGUGGUGCAGUGAAUAGCUGCAUUAUUUGACGUUAGCGACAGAAGAAGCACCGGCUAACUCCGUGCCAGCAGCCGCGGUAAUACGGAGGGUGCGAGCGUUAAUCGGAAUUACUGGGCGUAAAGCGCAUGCAGGUGGUUUGUUAAGUCAGAUGUGAAAGCCCGAGGCUCAACCUCGGAAGGUCAUUUGAAACUGGCAGGCUAGAGUACUGUAGAGGGGGGUAGAAUUUCAGGUGUAGCGGCGAAAUGCGUAGAGAUCUGAAGGAAUACCGGUGGCGAAGGCGGCCCCCUGGACAGAUACUGACACUCAGAUGCGAAAGCGUGGGGAGCAAACAGGAUUAGAUACCCUAGUAGUC
rnacentral:rRNA from 1 species